AACGGCCGUACCAUGCUGAAUAUACCGGUUCUCGUUAGAUCACCGAAGUUAAGCAUCAUUGGGCGCGGUCAGUACUUGGGUGGGUGACCACCCGGGAACACUGCGUGCCGUU